UCCGGCAACGUCAGACUGGGGUGGGAGUGAACGGCUAGGGCCAGGACGUCAGAAUAGAUCCCUAUGACAGAGAUUCAGUCUGUGUGUACAGACAGACGUAUCCACGUCUUACGCAUAACCGCUGAGCUGCAUACAUUUCUCACGAUCCAACAUGCGAAAGAAAAACAGACCAGACUAAGAAUUUUCAGCUAUGCAAACACAAAUAUUAAAAAUGUCCAUAUAGACAUCUGCAAACCCUUUCAGGGUAGAGUCACAGCUGUCCAGACCCUCGCUCGGUCUGCAAACAUUAACAAGAAGAUGAAUUCAGAUAACGCAACUGUCAUUUAAAUCUCACUUUCCCCACCAAGGCUGAGGGGUUCAAGGCCAGCGCCACCGCCGCCGCCGCCGCUCUGGAGUAACGCGGACGCCCCGAAGGUGCCCAUCGUUUAUCCCUCCACGCAGGGCCGAGGGGAGUCUGCGACCCACGAAUCAGUGCAGCAGCCCCGCACCCUGCACACCGGCCCCCGCUGACCUCCGAAACCGCUCAAUUCCAAAGGCAGGCGGCAACGCGCAGGCCAAGCGCCCCGCGAGGGUCAGAGACGCACACGCCUCGCCCAGCAUCGCCGCCACUGACCGCCUGCCCCGGCCCGCGCGCCCCGGCUGCACAAUGGAGCCCGCCAGGCGGGCGGCUCCUUAAGAUGCGGGGCCGAGGUGGAGGUCUACACACGCACAGACCCGCAGUUCACGCCCAGCGAUAACCGAGCAGACCGUGCGCACGGAGGUUCGGUCGUCCCGCGCCGCCUCCCGGGGCCGCGGGGAACGCGCGCGCCGGCGGCGACGCCCGCAGCCACACGUGCCCCUUCCAACGCCAUCCGUCGACGGAUUCCUUCUCGCCCGCAAGGAAGCGAGUUAUUCCAACAUCCAGCAGCCUGAGCCGUGAGCGCGCACUGCCCAGCUUCUGAGACUCAGGAAUCCAGGAGGUGCCCGGCUCGGUUGAAUAAUCAGAAGAAUAAAGUCACAGAGACAAAAAUUCACUGGCUUAUUGCAGCUGCCUGAGCCACAGAGUCAAGCAGGUGAUACACCAAGGGCAAGGCCGGCCUGGAGCCAGUUCCAGGUAAUGCAGUCUCCUGGGGGGAGCCCUGCUGUGAGACCAACGUCGCCUCUGGAUUGUAGCGUUUAUUUGGGAAAUCCCGAUGCCAGCAAUGGCUGUCAGCCACAUCUGUCCCAUCUCCAGUGAGGCUCCCAGGGUCCCUGGGAGAACAGAAUCGGGAUUCCGGAAGCUCCUGAACAGCCCGUCUUCCUUCAAGAAGACGGUGCCAGGACCUGGGGAGCCUGGUCCUCUCAGGGGCCGUCCACGUUGAACCCCACGAAGACACGUGGCAGUGUGUGCAUCCGUGGCUGGCAGUGGGUGCAGGAGAAACCAACCCCAAACCCAGUGACAUUCAGAGCUUGCCAAACCUCUAAAUUUGGCAUCUGGUGUAAUCUGGAAUGGGCCAGACGGUCCCGGGUGUGCAUCUCGUGUAGCCUGGGCAGGGUUCCCGGCUGCCAGUUGUCAGAUGAGGGUCUCAUGUGUCGCUGGAACAAGGACGAGGCUCGAUAACCAGAUUCCCUCCCUGGUGAACAACCGCUGGCUUCUUGAUGUUAGUCCUCCCAGAUACAAAGUAUCAGACAUACUCUUUAUGAAACAAUGUAGAAGAUACAGAAAAAUGAAAAGUAUCACAUUGUUCCAACCCUUAGAGAGGCCCUUGUGGGCAUCCCAAAGCAUUUCCUUCCGAGCUCAAAUCUUAGCUCCUUUUUGAAAAAAGUCCUGUAGCUCCGUGAGUUGUUGUGGAUUACUCCCUGGGGAAAGGAGGGGCACGUUUGUCCUGGGAGUAACAAACAUUCUGUUGCAAGAAACUCUGUAAAAAGCAUUGCCGUAGCAGGCCUAUCAUUUGGUGACGUGGAUUUGCCAGGGUUUAUGUAACAAAUCUAGUAGAUGUCAGAUCUAAGAUGCUGGAUCCAAGCCCUCCUCUUGAUGGUAUCUAUGGAGGCGGGGUUUGGUUUGUUAAAAAUGUUCAUGUAUCUGAAAGUCAUGGGUUGAGAGAGAGAGAGAGAGAGAGAGAGAGAGAGAGGAAGAGAGAGAGAGAUGGAGUGAGGUCCCUGGAGCUCAGUCUGAACCUCCCGCGGGGGUGGCAGGGACCCAAGUACUUGAGUAUCACCUGCUCUCUCCAGGGUGUGCGUCAGCAGGAAGCUGGACUGGGAGCAGAGCUGGGACUCAAACCCCCACUCUCUGCUAUGGCACAGGGCAUCCCAAGCAGAGAUGUAACCUCUGUGCCGUGCGCCUGCCCCACUGGGAGCCUUGAUGCCCCUUGGUGAUGUGGUGACGAAACGGCAUUGUUUCUGGGAGCAGCGCUGGGUUUGGCCACAAGUAGGUUUUAGAACGAAUAUCUCCCCCGGCGUCACCCCACCCACCAGACAGCAGAUGCUUCCUCCUGAAGGGCAGGUGCUGGUAGCUGCUGUGUUUAUUUGGGGAAAUCUCAUUUUUAAUGCAGGAGAAUAAAUGGGUCCAUUUUCUUGACCCACUUCCUUCUCCAACUCUGCAGGGAAAAGGUGCCACGAAGCCUCAGGUACUGCGCAGCCCGUGGGGAGAUGCAGCCCCCGAAAACCCGCAGGCAGGGCACCGAACCUGCUCCGCCCCAGCUCGCUGCUGGACGGCACUUGGCCGAGCCUGAGAGAAUGGCCCCAGAGCCCCACAAAGGACAGGCCGGUUCCUCCAUCCAAGGACCGGUGUCCAAAGAUCCGAGACGCUUCCCUCGGCUGCUUGGAUACAACCAGGCCUUUGUAUGUCGGGGUUAAACGUGCCUUGUAAUUGGCACUGUGAACACUGGGGCUCUGUGUCUGUCCGCAGAAGACAACACAGCGCCAUGGCCACGACACGUGUUUUCAGGCACCAAAACAAGUGCCGGGGCCUGACACGUCGGUAGUAUUCUCUUCGGAGAGCCCUGUGCUGGUCACCCGAGACCCUGUAAUCUGUGGUCCCGAUCUCCCACCGCCCAGCAGACCAGGGUCCCCUCGCAGAGAUUCUGGGAGUGCCAGGGACCACCGGGUGUGGGGAGUCCAACAGGGCAGCAGUGAGCAGCCAGUAGGGCUUUAUCAGCUUGAGUUGAGGGCCUUGCCCGCCCCCCUGCCCCCAGCUGGGGCUCUGCUCGCUGCAGAUACAGGAGCAGUGAGAAGCAAUGAGGCCUCCCUCCCACACAAGUGUGCAGCAGCAGACUGUGGCGAGGUGCAGCGUGCAAGGCUGUGACACGGGGGACAGUGAGUCAGCAAGCAGGAAGGUGCCGGGCCAGACGCUGGGCGCAGGCAGGGGAGACUCCCGCAGCUGUGCGUGACGGGGGCUGCAUGGAGCAGGGGGUUCCCUGGGUGCAGAAGCCCCUCGCUUUCCAUCCUGACUUCCAGCCACUGAUCGAGAGCAGGGACGGGAGGAAGGCUGAGCCAGGGACUGUGCCUUGGGCAGUGCUGUGUUGGUUUUGGAGAGAGAGAGAGAGAGAGAGAGAGAGAGAGAGAGAGAGAGAUCUUCUAUAUGCUGGUUUACUCCCCCAAAAUGGCCACAGUGGCCAGGGCUGAGCCAAGCCAAAGCCAGGAGCCUGGAGCUCCAUCCGGGUCUCUCACGUGGGUGGUGGGGGCACAAGAACUUGGGCCAUCUUCCACUGCCUUCCCAGGCACAGCACUGGAGCUGGAUUGGAAGUGGAGCAGCCGGGACUCAGUCCAGUGCCUGUACAGGAUGCCAGCACUGACGGAGGCAGUUGAAUCUACUGCACCACGACGCAGGCCCCCAUGACCCAUUUUUUAAAGAAGUGCAUCUUAGGGGCGGGCAUUUUUGACACAGCAGUUGAAACGCUGGGGAGAUGUCCACCUCCCAUAUCAGAGCGCCUGGUUCAAGUCCUGGCUCUGCUCCUGAUUCCAGCUUCCUCUUAAGGCGCACCCUGGCAGGCAGCAGGUGAUGGUUCAAGUCCCUGUGUCACUGCCACCUGUGUGGGAGAGCUGUGCUCGCCCUUGGCCCAAUCCAGCUGUUGUAGGCAUUUGGGGAGUGAACCAGGGGAUGCACGACUUCUCUCUCUCUGUUGCCCCCCCCCUUUAAGAUUUAUUUAUUUGAAAGUCAGAGUUACACAGAGAGAGAAGAAGAAACAGAGAGAGAGGGAGGGAGAGAGAGAGAGAGGUCUUCCAUCUGCUGGUUCACUCCCCAGUUGGCUGUAAUGGCUGAAGCUGGGCCAAUCCGAAGCCAGGAGCCAGGAGCUUCUUCCGGGUCUCCCACGUGGGUGCAGGGGCCCAAGCACUUGGGCAUCUUCCACUGCCUUCCCAGGCCACAGCAGAGAGCUGGAUCAGAGGUGGAGCAGCCAGGACUCGAACUGACGCCCAUGUGGGAUACUGGCACUGCAGGUGGCGGCUUUACCCGCUAGGCCACAGCACCAGCCCCUGUUUUGCCUUUUCAAAAGAAAGAAAGAAAGAAAGAAAGAAAGAAAGAAAGAAAGAAAGAAAGAAAGAAAGAAAGAAAGAAAGGAAAACAGAAGAAAGGAAGAACUACAUCUUAACUCCAUUUGAACUUGUGUUUUGGUCACGGUCCACAUUCAAGGCGGCCCACUGUUAAAUGAGCACGGAGAUCAGUGCCUAUCACCGCAGUGUUUCACCAGGCAGCUGUCAGGUGUUUACAAGAGCAGAGGUGCAGAGAGGAAAGUGAGCGUUCACUGAAGAAGUGGAUGACGUCAGACAUUAGAGGACAUGACCACAGCAGCACACAAGGGUUUCCAUGUAGCAAAAGACGGGAGGGGAACACCCACAAUGCCACCAACUGCUGUCUUGGGGGUGUGUGUGUGUGAAAUUGUUGGCAACUAUUUUUUUUUUUUUUUUGACAGGCAGAGUGGACAGUGAGAGAGAGAGACAGAGAGAAAGGUCUUCCUUUGCCAUUGGUUCACUCUCCAAUGGCCGCUGUGGCCUGUGCACCGUGCUGAUCCGAUGGCAGGAGCCAGGUGCUUCUCCUGGUCUCCCAUGGGGUGCAGGGCCCAAGCACUUGGGCCAUCCUCCACUGUACUCCCGGGCCACAGCAGAGAGCUGGCCUGGAAGAAGGGCAACCGGGACAGAAUCCGGCGCCCCGACCGGGACUAGAACCCGGUGUGCCGGCGCCGCAAGGUGGAGGAUUAGCCUAGUGAGCCGCAGCACCGGCCUGCAGCUAUUUUCUUCUUGUAUAAUUUCUUUUGUGCCACAUGACCAAGCAUUGCUUUUGUAGCAUGUCUGAUAGGCCGCUUCUGGCUUUUGCUUGGUGAAGUGUCAACUUUGAAAGCAGAUGUUAAAUGUGCGGUCGGUGCAGUGCUGUCUCGGAGAUGGUAGCUGAAAUGGUAUUUGCGUAUAUUCUUCAUUCUGGCUUAAGACAGCACUAGCUGGGGAACCCAGGCCCUAGAAAGCCCUUCCAGCCAUGGGUGCAGGCGUGGGUCUAAGGGGCCCUGGUCUGCGGAGAGUGACCCCUUGGAAGCGCUGGGUUAACCGCAGGAGUGCAGAGAUCACUCGAGGACAGCCACUGGAGAACUGUGGCUGUGAAGAGGCUGGAGGAGUGGGGGGCGACCACGUGGGGAUGGAGGGGCCCAGAGCCAGGAGAGGCGCACAGGAACCUGUGCCCUGGAGGCAGAGCAGGGCUGAGUCCCAAGCAUGGGGCCAGGCACGCUUUAUGGUCAGGGAUGGGACGAGCUGGGCUGGCCAGGGGGUCGUGGGGCAGGGGCAUGGGCAGUUAGGAAGACCCCACAGGGCGGUGACCAUGCAGGGCGCUGGGGGUGUGUGAGAUGGCAGGGCCGAGCUGCGGGUGCCUGCUCUGGAGCCAGCUCUGGUCAAGGGCAGGGAUCCCCAGGACUCUGAGGUCCCGGGCUGAGGGAGAGGGGAGGGGGCCCUUCCAUCUGAUCUCUACCUCCUGAAACUGUGGGUUGGGGCCUCCAGGAACAGACACGUGGCCCUUCUGUGUCCUGCUCCGUAGGAUAAGAGACUGGGCAGACAGAGUUUCCAAACUAACUACCAAAGAGGCCUUUUCCUGUCUUUUACUCCACGGGCUCUGCACUGUGAGGUCAGUUUUUUUUUUUUUUCUUAUUGGACAACAUUUAUUAAGAAGGAAUUCAAUCUUAUUAAUAAAAACACAUUGACUAAGAGCAGGCUGGUAAGUGUGAGACAAACUCCCCCCAGACCGGUUCUCUGUCUCGCCCAAAGCUCAGGAGGGGACAUUUUGGCUACUUUGGGAUGCCUGUGGGUUCUCUUCCUGCCUCAGUGAGGUUACUUGUGAAGGCAGGCAAAGCGGGUAGGUGUAGGGCAUAGCCGUGAGGAUGCCCGCGUCCCAUAUCUGGGUGUCUGGGUUUGAGGAGGGGAGAGAAGGGAGAGGGCAUGUUCCUCUUCACGCAGGACUCCAGCUGCCGGCUCGUCUGGGCGCUGUCCUGUCCCGGGCCGCGUCUGUCUGAGCACCCGCACCUGGGCUCAACACCCAGACUCUGCGGCGGUGAGCGCUGCAGGCUGAACGGAGGCUUUCUGGGCCGGGCGGCGAGAUGUCCUGGUCUACGGCAGGCAAACUCAGCCUGGGGGGAUCAGACACCGGUUGGGGGGGCAUCUGGGAAGGAAAACCAAACCCAGAACCUUCUCUGCUAGGGAGGGAAGACGUGGGCUGCUUGGGAUCCGCCAGCAGGUGCGGCGGAGCUGGGCAGGGGAGGAGGGCUGGCGGGUGAGGAGCCGGCAUCUGUCUCUGCCUCUGUAGUAGAAGCGCCGUGCACGCAAUAAAUAAGUCAAUAAUGAAUAAACCAUCAAAUGCUGCUUUGGAAAGCCACUGACAGUCGGGAGGGGCAGGGAGUUCAAGCGCAUCAUCAAACAUGAUGAUGGGGCGCUGCCAGCGGAGGAGGAAUAAAGGCUGCCUUGGUAUUGCCACAGGGGACGGAGGCCCGGCCGGGGAGUCCCUGGGUAAGCACGGCGGGGCCGGCGGUUUGAUGCAGGCACAUCAGAGCGGACGCCUCCAGACGGAGCGAGCCUGGAAAAGUCUCAGGAUUACGGACUCGGAGGCCAUUUCCUGAGGGACAGAGCUGAAGGGGCUCAUCUGAUUGAAAACUGGGCUGUGUGAAACGGGGUCAAAUUAAGGGACCUUUCUCAGCAGGUACCUGCGGGCAUCUUCUCUCUAAUUACCGGAUCGCGGGUCCAGACAACCCCGUUGUUCCCCGCUGCCUUCCCUCAGAGGCUCAGAACUGCCAAGCCCCUGUUUAUCCGGCGCUCUCUGAACUGGUUCCCCCACGUGCAGAGCAGGGGAAGGUGGCUUCUUAGGUUAAUUGCGGCUGCAAA